CUUGUACAGGAUAGGUAGGAGCCUUUGAAACGUGAGCGCUAGCUUACGUGGAGGCGCUGGUGGGAUACUACCCUAGCUGUGUUGGCUUUCUAACCCGCACCACUUAUCGUGGUGGGAGACAGUGUCAAGCGGGCAGUUUGACUGGGGCGGUCGCCUCCUAAAAGGUAACGGAGGCGCUCAAAGGUUCCCUCAGAAUGGUUGGAAAUCAUUCAUAGAGUGUAAAGGCAUAAGGGAGCUUGACUGCGAGACCUACAAGUCGAGCAGGGUCGAAAGACGGACUUAGUGAUCCGGUGGUUCCGCAUGGAAGGGCCAUCGCUCAACGGAUAAAAGCUACCCCGGGGAUAACAGGCUUAUCUCCCCCAAGAGUUCACAUCGACGGGGAGGUUUGGCACCUCGAUGUCGGCUCAUCGCAUCCUGGGGCU
rnacentral:rRNA from 1 species